rnacentral:rRNA from 1 species
UUAAGCGACUAAGCGUACACGGUGGAUGCCCUGGCAGUCAGAGGCGAUGAAGGACGUGCUAAUCUGCGAUAAGCGUCGGUAAGGUGAUAUGAACCGUUAUAACCGGCGAUUUCCGAAUGGGGAAACCCAGUGUGUUUCGACACACUAUCAUUAACUGAAUCCAUAGGUUAAUGAGGCGAACCGGGGGAACUGAAACAUCUAAGUACCCCGAGGAAAAGAAAUCAACCGAGAUUCCCCCAGUAGCGGCGAGCGAACGGGGAGCAGCCCAGAGCCUGAAUCAGUGUGUGUGUUAGUGGAAGCGUCUGGAAAGGCGCGCGAUACAGGGUGACAGCCCCGUACACAAAAAUGCACAUGCUGUGAGCUCGAUGAGUAGGGCGGGACACGUGGUAUCCUGUCUGAAUAUGGGGGGACCAUCCUCCAAGGCUAAAUACUCCUGACUGACCGAUAGUGAACCAGUACCGUGAGGGAAAGGCGAAAAGAACCCCGGCGAGGGGAGUGAAAAAGAACCUGAAACCGUGUACGUACAAGCAGUGGGAGCACGCUUAGGCGUGUGACUGCGUACCUUUUGUAUAAUGGGUCAGCGACUUAUAUUCUGUAGCAAGGUUAACCGAAUAGGGGAGCCGAAGGGAAACCGAGUCUUAACUGGGCGUUAAGUUGCAGGGUAUAGACCCGAAACCCGGUGAUCUAGCCAUGGGCAGGUUGAAGGUUGGGUAACACUAACUGGAGGACCGAACCGACUAAUGUUGAAAAAUUAGCGGAUGACUUGUGGCUGGGGGUGAAAGGCCAAUCAAACCGGGAGAUAGCUGGUUCUCCCGAAAGCUAUUUAGGUAGCGCCUCGUGAAUUCAUCUCCGGGGGUAGAGCACUGUUUCGGCAAGGGGGUCAUCCCGACUUACCAACCCGAUGCAAACUGCGAAUACCGGAGAAUGUUAUCACGGGAGACACACGGCGGGUGCUAACGUCCGUCGUGAAGAGGGAAACAACCCAGACCGCCAGCUAAGGUCCCAAAGUCAUGGUUAAGUGGGAAACGAUGUGGGAAGGCCCAGACAGCCAGGAUGUUGGCUUAGAAGCAGCCAUCAUUUAAAGAAAGCGUAAUAGCUCACUGGUCGAGUCGGCCUGCGCGGAAGAUGUAACGGGGCUAAACCAUGCACCGAAGCUGCGGCAGCGACACUAUGUGUUGUUGGGUAGGGGAGCGUUCUGUAAGCCUGUGAAGGUGUGCUGUGAGGCAUGCUGGAGGUAUCAGAAGUGCGAAUGCUGACAUAAGUAACGAUAAAGCGGGUGAAAAGCCCGCUCGCCGGAAGACCAAGGGUUCCUGUCCAACGUUAAUCGGGGCAGGGUGAGUCGACCCCUAAGGCGAGGCCGAAAGGCGUAGUCGAUGGGAAACAGGUUAAUAUUCCUGUACUUGGUGUUACUGCGAAGGGGGGACGGAGAAGGCUAUGUUGGCCGGGCGACGGUUGUCCCGGUUUAAGCGUGUAGGCUGGUUUUCCAGGCAAAUCCGGAAAAUCAAGGCUGAGGCGUGAUGACGAGGCACUACGGUGCUGAAGCAACAAAUGCCCUGCUUCCAGGAAAAGCCUCUAAGCAUCAGGUAACAUCAAAUCGUACCCCAAACCGACACAGGUGGUCAGGUAGAGAAUACCAAGGCGCUUGAGAGAACUCGGGUGAAGGAACUAGGCAAAAUGGUGCCGUAACUUCGGGAGAAGGCACGCUGAUAUGUAGGUGAAGUCCCUCGCGGAUGGAGCUGAAAUCAGUCGAAGAUACCAGCUGGCUGCAACUGUUUAUUAAAAACACAGCACUGUGCAAACACGAAAGUGGACGUAUACGGUGUGACGCCUGCCCGGUGCCGGAAGGUUAAUUGAUGGGGUUAGCGCAAGCGAAGCUCUUGAUCGAAGCCCCGGUAAACGGCGGCCGUAACUAUAACGGUCCUAAGGUAGCGAAAUUCCUUGUCGGGUAAGUUCCGACCUGCACGAAUGGCGUAAUGAUGGCCAGGCUGUCUCCACCCGAGACUCAGUGAAAUUGAACUCGCUGUGAAGAUGCAGUGUACCCGCGGCAAGACGGAAAGACCCCGUGAACCUUUACUAUAGCUUGACACUGAACAUUGAGCCUUGAUGUGUAGGAUAGGUGGGAGGCUUUGAAGUGUGGACGCCAGUCUGCAUGGAGCCGACCUUGAAAUACCACCCUUUAAUGUUUGAUGUUCUAACGUUGACCCGUAAUCCGGGUUGCGGACAGUGUCUGGUGGGUAGUUUGACUGGGGCGGUCUCCUCCUAAAGAGUAACGGAGGAGCACGAAGGUUGGCUAAUCCUGGUCGGACAUCAGGAGGUUAGUGCAAUGGCAUAAGCCAGCUUGACUGCGAGCGUGACGGCGCGAGCAGGUGCGAAAGCAGGUCAUAGUGAUCCGGUGGUUCUGAAUGGAAGGGCCAUCGCUCAACGGAUAAAAGGUACUCCGGGGAUAACAGGCUGAUACCGCCCAAGAGUUCAUAUCGACGGCGGUGUUUGGCACCUCGAUGUCGGCUCAUCACAUCCUGGGGCUGAAGUAGGUCCCAAGGGUAUGGCUGUUCGCCAUUUAAAGUGGUACGCGAGCUGGGUUUAGAACGUCGUGAGACAGUUCGGUCCCUAUCUGCCGUGGGCGCUGGAGAACUGAGGGGGGCUGCUCCUAGUACGAGAGGACCGGAGUGGACGCAUCACUGGUGUUCGGGUUGUCAUGCCAAUGGCACUGCCCGGUAGCUAAAUGCGGAAGAGAUAAGUGCUGAAAGCAUCUAAGCACGAAACUUGCCCCGAGAUGAGUUCUCCCUGACUCCUUGAGAGUCCUGAAGGAACGUUGAAGACGACGACGUUGAUAGGCCGGGUGUGUAAGCGCAGCGAUGCGUUGAGCUAACCGGUACUAAUGAACCGUGAGGCUUAACCU